CAGAGCAGAGAAAAAUGUUAGACACUUGCAUGCUUUGUUAUCAUGUAGAAUGUGAAGGUUUCAGUCCUUAUAUACUCCUUGAUACAAAAUAUCAGCUUAGUCACAACAUCACCAUGUAAUCCUAUCAAUGUUACCUCCUUUGCUGUUUGUAUCAUCUGAUAUAUUGCUCUAUGUCUAAAUCAUCAAAAGGACUAAUGGGAAAAAGAAUUUGGGAUUCUGUUGUCACAGACACGUGGAGAUCUGAGGUCCAGGUGAUUCUCACACUGUUCUUCUUGGAAAUGUUCACAGUGAUGAAGGUUUGUCCAUUC